rnacentral:tRNA from 1 species
UCCUCUGUAGUUCAGUCGGUAGAACGGCGGACUGUUAAUCCCUAUGUCACUGGUUCGAGUCCAGUCAGAGGAGCCA